CCCAAUAAUCAAAUACAUUACAAAAAUCAUAUCACAUAUAAUACAUUCAAUCAAGUAUCGACAAUGCAAUAUUUCUUAACAUGCUGAAAUAAAAAAUUUCUCACUCAUUUAAAAACCCCCAAAGUUCUAAACCCCAAAUCAAAAUCAUAUUUUCUUCCACUAAAAUUCCCAAAUUCCCAACACUACAUGCAAAAAUAGAUUAAACCACAUGCAAGAUAGGAAACAAAAGGAACUCACUUCUUCUUGGCUAUAGGGAUUUGGUCCAUAUUUUUUCAAUGAUGGUUCCCUUAGGGUUCAAGAUGAUAUUUUCUUCUAAUUUCCA
rnacentral:lncRNA from 1 species